UAGCGAAAUUCCUUGUCGGGUAAGUUCCGACCCGCACGAAAGGCGUAAUGAUUUGGGCACUGUCUCGACAAUGCACCCGGUGAAAUUGAAAUACCAGUGAAGAUGCUGGUUACCCGCGCCAGGACGGAAAGACCCCAUGGAGCUUUACUCCAGUUUGAUACUGGGAUUCGGUACUGCACGUACAGGAUAGGUGGGAGACUGAGAACUAUGGACGCCAGUCUGUAGGGAGUCGCUGUUGGGAUACCACCCCUGUAGUACUGGGUUUCUAACCAGUUGCCAUGAACUGGCAAUGGGACAAUGUCAGGCGGGGAGUUUGACUGGGGCGGUCGCCUCCGAAAGGGUAUCGGAGGCGCUCAAAGGUUCCCUCAGAAUGGUCGGAAACCAUUUGAAGAGUGCAAAGGCAGAAGGGAGCUUGACUGCGACACCGACGGGUGGAGCAGGUACGAAAGUAGGACUUAGUGAUCCGGUGGUAUAAAGUGGGAUUGCCAUCGCUCAACGGAUAAAAGCUACCCUGGGAUAACAGGCUUAUCACUCCCAAGAGUUCACAUCGACGGAGUGGUUUGGCACCUCGAUGUCGGCUCAUCGCAUCCUGGGGCUGUAGCAGGUCCCAAGGGUUGGGCUGUUCGCCCAUUAAAGCGGUACGCGAGCUGGGUUCAGAACGUCGUGAGACAGUUCGGUCCCUAUCCGUCGCGGGCGCAGGAAAUUUGAGAGGAGCUGUCCUUAGUACGAGAGGACCGGGAUGGACGCACCGCUGGUGUACCAGUUGUUCUGCCAAGGGCAUCGCUGGGUAGCUAUGUGCGGACGGGAUAAGUGCUGAAAGCAUCUAAGCAUGAAGCCCCCCUCAAGAUGAGAUUUCCCAUUCCGCAAGGAAGUAAGAUCCCUGAAAGAUGAUCAGGUUGAUAGGUCUGAGGUGGAAGUGUGGCGACACAUGGAGCUGACAGAUACUAAUCGAUCGAGG
rnacentral:rRNA from 1 species